UACGUAGGUGACCAGCGUUGUCCGGAUUUACUGGGCGUAAAGAGCGCGCAGGCGGUCGUUCAAGUCGAGUGUGAAAGCCCCCGGCUCAACUGGGGAGGGUCACUCGAUACUGAUCGACUUGAAGGCAGGAGAGGGAAGCGGAAUUCCCGGUGUAGUGGUGAAAUGCGUAGAUAUCGGGAGGAACACCAGUGGCGAAGGCGACUGUCUGGACUGAUACUGACGCUGAGGCGCGAAAGCGUGGGGAGCAAACAGG
rnacentral:rRNA from 1 species